AUUGAACGCUGGCGGCAGGCCUAACACAUGCCAGUCGAACGGAGUGGCGGACGGGUGAGUAAUGCCUAGGAAUAUGCCUGGUAGUGGGGGAUAACGUCCGGAAACGGGCGCUAAUCCCGCAUACGAUCAGCUGAGCCUAGGUCGGAUUAGCUCGUUGGUGGGGUAAAGUCCUACCAAGGCGACGAUCCGUAACUGGUCUGCGAGGAUGAUCAGCCAAACUGGAACUGAGACACGGUCCAGACUCCUACGGGAGGCAGCAGUAGGGAAUAUUGGGCAAUGGGCGAAAGCCUGAUCCAGCCACGCCGCGUGUGUGAAGAAGGUCUUCGGAUUGUAAAGCACUGUAAGUUGGGAAGCGUUACCAACAGAAUAAGCACCGGCUAACUUCGUGCCAGCAGCCGCGGUAAUUC
rnacentral:rRNA from 1 species